AAUAUUUUUUGAUUUAUUUAUAAUGUUUUGUGUCAAAAUUAUGUGAGAAAUGAGGUAUCUACCUAAUGGUAGGAAGAAAUUAAUUAUGUAAUGGUAGGAAAAAUAAUUUCACUUUAAUUACGUAUUAGAAAAUCAGUAAUCUUAAAUUAGGAUGCAUCAAUGGAGAAGAAGGCAAUUCGAAUCACAAUACAAUAAUAAAUCUACAAAUACCAAGCAAUACAUUAAAUCAAAAAUCUCAGUAACACUGUUGUAAUAUUGUACUCCCUGUGGUCUUAUUAAUGUCAGCUUAUUGAUAGCUCGAUUACCAGUCAAAUAGUUUUGAUGUUUUCUAUACUAUGAAGAAAAUUUGAUCUGAUUAGAUUAAUUCAGAUGUAAAUUUAUGUUAUACGGUAAGAUAUUUUUAAACAAACCAAGAAAGUUCUCUUCAGACAAGUUCUGGUCUGAAAU
rnacentral:lncRNA from 1 species